GGUGCUUGCACCUGGUGGCGAGUGGCGAACGGGUGAGUAAUACAUCGGAACGUACCUUAUCGUGGGGGAUAACGCAGCGAAAGCUGUGCUAAUACCGCAUACGCCCUGAGGGGGAAAGCGGGGGAUCGAAAGACCUCGCGCGAUUAGAGCGGCCGAUGCCUGAUUAGCUUGUUGGUGGGGUAAAAGCCCACCAAGGCGACGAUCAGUAGCUGGUCUGAGAGGACGAUCAGCCACACUGGGACUGAGACACGGCCCAGACUCCUACGGGAGGCAGCAGUGGGGAAUUUUGGACAAUGGGGGAAACCCUGAUCCAGCAAUGCCGCGUGAGUGAAGAAGGCCUUCGGGUUGUAAAGCUCUUUUGUCAGGGAAGAAACACCGGCUCUAACACAGUCCGGGAAUGACGGUACCUGAAGAAUAAGCACCGGCUAACUACGUGCCAGCAGCCGCGGUAAUACGUAGGGUGCGAGCGUUAAUCGGAAUUACUGGGCGUAAAGCGUGCGCUGGCGGUUAUACAAGACAGGCGUGAAAUCCCCGGGCUUAACCUGGGAAUGGCGCCUGUGACUGUAUAGCUAGAGUGUGUCAGAGGGGGGUAGAAUUCCACGUGUAGCAGUGUAAUGCGUAGAUAUGUGGAGGAAUACCAAUGGCGAAGGCAGCCCCCUGGGAUAACACUGACGCUCAUGCACGAAAGCGUGGGGAGCAA
rnacentral:rRNA from 1 species